AUUGAACGCUCGCGGCAGGCUUAACACAUGCAAGUCGAGCGGGCGAGGUUGCUUCGGUAACUGAGCUAGCGGCGGACGGGUGAGUAAUGCUUAGGAAUCUGCCUAUUAGUGGGGGACAACAUUCCGAAAGGGAUGCUAAUACCGCAUACGUCCUACGGGAGAAAGCAGGGGCUCUUUAUGACCUUGCGCUAAUAGAUGAGCCUAAGUCGGAUUAGCUAGUUGGUGGGGUAAAGGCCUACCAAGGCGACGAUCUGUAGCGGGUCUGAGAGGAUGAUCCGCCACACGAGGACUGAGACACGGGCCCGCCUCCUACGGGAGGCAGCAGUGGGGAAGGUUGGACAAUGGGGGGAUCCCUGAGCCAGCCAUGCCGCGUGUGUGAAGAAGGCCUUUUGGUUGUAAAGCACUUUAAGUGGGGAGGAGGCUUACCUGGUUAAUACCUGGGCUAAGUGGACGUUACCCACAGAAUAAGCACCGGCUAACUCUGUGCCAGCAGCCGCCGCGG
rnacentral:rRNA from 1 species